rnacentral:lncRNA from 1 species
UUGAAUUGUAGUUUUUUAUAACAAUCUUAUAUUUUAUUUUGUCAUAUUUGGUCAUAACUUUACCAAAGAAUCAAAUAAGAAAACUUCUCCAGCAAAGUUCUACGGUGGAUUCUGAAACAAAGAUAUCAUUAGACUAUACGGAUUAAAUGUUUAAUUAUAUUUCUGACCAUUUCCCCCUUAUGCACUUCUUGAGCAACUUUAAGUCAUUACUCCACACUUAUCUCCUUGUAACAUUAGGUAAGUCUCUUAUACAUCACACAUUCUCAUUGACUCUGCACUUUCGACAAGCUUUUCUAUUGUUCUUGCCUUGGUGGGUUUUCUGCUAUGUUUAACUUGGAAAAAGCUUUCUUCUUAUCCCUUUGUAACAUUAAUUAACUCUCUUAUGAAUCACAUAUUCUCCUCAAAUCUACACUCUCGACAAGCUUUUCUAUUGUUUUUGGUUUUCUGCUACGUUUUAUUUGGAAAAAAGCUUUCUUCUUAUCA